GAUGAACGCUGGCGGCGUGCCUAAUACAUGCAAGUCGAGCGAACAGAUGAGGAGCCUGCUCCUCUGACGUUAGCGGCGGACGGGUGAGUAACACGUGGAUAACCUACCUAUAAGACUGGGAUAACUUCGGGAAACCGGAUCUAAUACCGGAUAAUAUAUUGAACCGCAUGGUUCAUUAGUGAAAGACGGUUUUGCUGUCACUUAUAGAUGGAUCCUCGCCGCAUUAGCUAGUUGGUAAGGUAACGGCUUACCAAGGCAACGAUGCGUAGCCGACCUGAGAGGAUGAUCAGCCACACUGGAACUGAGACACGGUCCAGACUCCUACGGGAGGCAGCAGUAGGGAAUCUUCGGCAAUGGGCGAAAGCCUGACGGAGCAACGCCGCGUGAGUGAUGAAGGUCUUCGGAUCGUAAAGCUCUGUUAUUAGGGAAGAACAAAUGUGUAAGUAACUAUGCACGUCUUGACGGUACCUAAUCAGAAAGCCACGGCUAACUACGUG
rnacentral:rRNA from 1 species